rnacentral:rRNA from 1 species
AUGGCUGGAUUCGCUGAUGCACUGAGGCCGGAUAAGUUUACCGGUGUGCACUUUAAGAGGUGGCAGGUGAAGACCACGCUCUGGCUUACUGCUUUGAAAGUUUUCCACGCUAGUGUUGGUGCUCCAGAGGGAAUGACCGACGAAGAUCGGAGAAAAUUCCAGGAAGCCAAUACUAUGUUUGUGGGAUGCAUUCUGAGUGUUCUUGCUGACCGUCUGUGUGAUGUGUACAUGCACAUAAACGACGGAAAAAUUCUGUGGGAUGCACUGAAUGCAAAAUUGGGUGCAACAGAUGCAGGCAGUGAACUGUACAUCAUGGAGAGUUUUCAUGACUACAAGAUGGUGAAUAACCGUUCUGUGGUUGAACAAGCUCAUGAGAUACAGUGCAUUGUGAAGGAACUUGAACUCCUUAAAUGUGUUCUACCCGACAAAUUCGUGGCUGGGUGCAUGAUUGCAAAGUUGCCUCCUUCAUGGAGGAAUUUCGCCACAACUCUGAAGCAUAAGAGACAUGAGAUAUCAGUUGAAAAUCUGAUUGCAUCUCUUGAUGUUGAGGAAAAAGCUCGGGCUAAAGAUACUACUGAAAAAGGAGGUGAGGUUCAGCCUACUGCUAACAUGGUGCAGAGGUACCCACAGAACAAGAACAAAGGGAAGAACAAACCUGUUUUCAACAAGCCUACCAAGACUACUACCUUCAAGAAGAAGAAGUUCAACAAGGCUGAGCUAGAGUGCUACGCCUGUGGGAAGCCUGGACACUUUUCCAAGGAAUGCCCUGAACGUGCAGACCGCAGAGGGAAAACAAGCUCCAAGACUGUCAACAUGGUGACCGCUAGCAAUACUGAUGGGUAUGGUAAUUUACCUAUUGUGCUUUCAGUAUUUCAAUCAUCUUCGUGGUGGAUUGAUUCGGGUGCUAACGUUCAUGUGUGUGCUGACAUCUCCCUGUUUACUUCUUAUCAGGUCGCAAGGGAUUCUUCCGUCCUAAUGAGGAAUGGGUCACAUGCUUCUGUUCGUGGCAUUGGCACGGUGGAUCUGAAGUUUACUUCGGGAAAGAUCGUGCAACUAAGGAACGUGCAGCAUGUCCCUACUAUGAACAAGAAUCUAGUUAGCGGCUCCCUUCUAUGUCGAGAUGGAUUUAAGGUAGUUUUAGAGUCCAAUAAAGUAAUCGUGUCAAGAUUUGGACAAUUUAUAGGAAAAGGCUAUGAGUGCGGAGGCUUGUUCCGCUUUUCUCUUUCAGAUUUUUGCAAUAAGUCAAUAAACCAAAUUUGUGCUAGUGUUAAUGAUGAUGCAAGUAUUUGGCACUCUCGUUUAUGUCAUAUUAAUUUUGGUUUAAUGUCUCGGCUAUCCAGCAUGAGUUUAAUUCCGAACUUCACAGUUGCCAAAGGUUCUAAGUGCCAUAGUUGUGUGCAAUCUAAGCAACCUCGAAAGCCUCAUAAGGCUGCCGAGGAGAGAAACUUGGCACCUCUAGAACUCAUACAUUCUGAUCUUUGUGAGAUGAAUGGUGUGUUGACAAAAGGUGGAAAGAGAUAUUUCAUGACUUUGAUUGAUGAUGCGACUAGAUUUUGCUAUGUUUAUUUGUUGCAAACUAAAGAUGAAGCAUUAGACUACUUUAAAAUCUAUAAAGCUGAAGUUGAAAAUCAACUAGAGAGAAAGAUCAAGCGUCUUAGGUCCGAUCGUGGUGGAGAAUAUUUUCCAAAAGUUUUUGAUGAAUUUUGUGAGGAACAUGGUAUUAUUCAUGAGAGGAUGCCUCCCUAUUCACCUCAAUCAAAUGGAGUGGCCGAGAGGAAAAACCGCACAUUGACUGACUUGGUGAAUGCCAUGUUAGACACUGCUGGUUUAUCUAAGGCAUGGUGGGGGGAGGCUCUAUUGACUUCAUGUCAUGUCCUGAAUAGAGUUCCCAACAAUAAUAAAGAGAAAACCCCUUAUGAGGAGUGGGUUGGGAGAAAACCAUCACUUUCUUAUUUGCGCACUUGGGGAUGUUUGGCAAAGGUCAAUAUUCCUAUUCCUAAGAAACGCAAACUUGGACCAAAGACAGUGGAUUGUGUCUUUCUAGGGUAUGCUCAACGGAGCAUUGCUUAUAGGUUUUUAGUGGUAAAAUCUGAAGUACCUGAUAUGCAUGUUGAUACUAUAAUGGAAUCUCGUGAUGCAACAUUUUUUGAGAACAUAUUUCCUAUGAAAGAUAUGCAUAGCAUUGCUAGAUUUUCUUCUGAGAUAAUUCCUGAAUCUAGUACAACUGAUGAACAUUUCGAACAAUCACAUGAGGAAGUCCUUGAGAAGGAUAACAAUGAAGUUCCUAGAAGGAACAAGAGACAAAGGAUUGCAAAAUCCUUUGGUGAUGAUUUCAUUGUAUACCUUGUGGACAACACACCCAAGACGAUUGCAGAAGCAUAUGCAUCUCCGGAUGUAGAUGAUUGGAAAGAAGCUGUUCAUAAUGAGAUGGACUCAAUUCUUUCUAAUGGAACUUGGGAACUAACUGAUAGACCAUAUGGUUGUAAACCUGUGGGCUGUAAGUGGGUGUUCAAAAAGAAGCUAAAGCCUGAUGGUACUAUUGAUAAGUACAAGGCGCGGCUAGUGGCCAAGGGCUACACUCAGAAAGAAGGUGAAGAUUACUUUGACACCUAUUCACCCGUUGCUAGAAUGACCACCAUUCGAGUGUUACUUUCCUUGGCUGCCUCUUAUGGUCUUAUCAUUCAUCAAAUGGAUGUAAAGACAGCUUUUCUCAAUGGAGAGUUGGAAGAGGAGAUCUAUAUGGAUCAGCCUGACGGGUUUGUGGUAAAGGGUGAAGAGAGAAAGGUGUGCAAGUUGUUAAAAUCUUUGUAUGGUCUGAAACAGGCACCUAAGCAAUGGCAUGAGAAGUUUGAAAGAACUCUGACUUCUGCAGGAUUUGUCAUUAACGAGGCUGAUAGGUGUGUUUACUAUCGCCAUGGUGGGGGCAAUAGUGUCAUAUUAUGUUUGUAUGUGGACGACAUACUGAUCUUUGGUACAAACAUUAAUGCAAUUAAUGAGGUCAAGUCUUUUCUAUCAAAAAGUUUUGACAUGAAAGAUCUGGGAGAAGCCGAUGUAAUUCUAAACAUCAAACUUAUUAAGGAUGAGAGUGGGAUUACAUUAACGCAAUCUCACUAUGUUGAGAAGGUCUUGAACCGAUUCGGUUUUAUGGAGAGCAAGCCUUCUCCAACACCUUAUGAUCCCAGCGUGACACUCAGAAAGAACAAGAAAGAAACGAGAGAUCAAUUAAGAUACUCUCAAAUUGUCGGUUCACUCAUGUACUUAGCUAGCGCUACAAGACCAGAUAUCUCUUUUGCUGUGAGCAAACUGAGUAGGUUCAUGUCCAACCCGGGUGAUGAUCAUUGGCAUGCACUAGAAAGGGUCUUGCGCUAUCUGAGAGGUACUAUGAGUUACGGAAUUACUUAUUCAGGGCAUCCUGCUGUGCUAGAAGGAUAUAGUGAUUCAAAUUGGAUCUCCGAUGUUGAUGUACUUUACGCAACAAGUGGGUAUGUAUUUACUCAUGGUGGUGGCGCAGUGUCAUGGAGGUCUUGCAAGCAAACCAUAUUGACGAGGUCAACUAUGGAAGCAGAAUUAACUACUUUGGACACAGCUACUGUUGAGGCAGAAUGGCUGCGUGAGCUCUUGAUGGACUUGCCGGUUGUUGAAAAACCUGUACCGGCUAUUCUUAUGAAUUGUGAUAACCAAACGGUUAUCGCUAAAGUGAACAAUUCUAAAGAUAAUGCAAAGUCAUCAAGACACGUGAAAAGACGUUUGAAGUCUGUCAGGAAGUUGAGAAACUCCGGAGUAAUAACUGUUACGUAUAUACAAACAGACAAAAACCUGGCAGAUCCCUUUACAAAGGGACUAUCACGAAAUGUGAUAGAUAUUGCAUCGAGGGAGAUGGGUAUGAGACCCAUAGAUNNNNNUGUCCUACAGAGCAGUCUUGAAAGAACACACCUAUAUGAGUUCUGA